rnacentral:rRNA from 1 species
UACGUAGGUGGCAAGCGUUAUCCGGAAUUAUUGGGCGUAAAGCGCGCGCAGGUGGUUUCUUAAGUCUGAUGUGAAAGCCCACGGCUCAACCGUGGAGGGUCAUUGGAAACUGGGAGACUUGAGUGCAGAAGAGGAAAGUGGAAUUCCAUGUGUAGCGGUGAAAUGCGUAGAGAUAUGGAGGAACACCGGUGGCGAAGGCGGCAUCCUGGACCGGUAUUGACGCUGAGGCGCGAAAGCUAGGGUAGCAAACGGG